rnacentral:rRNA from 1 species
UACGUAGGGCGCAAGCGUUGUCCGGAAUUAUUGGGCGUAAAGAGCUCGUAGGCGGUUUGUCGCGUCUGCUGUGAAAACCUAAGGCUCAACCUUGGGCUUGCAGUGGGUACGGGCAGACUAGAGUGCGGUAGGGGUGACUGGAAUUCCUGGUGUAGCGGUGGAAUGCGCAGAUAUCAGGAGGAACACCGAUGGCGAAGGCAGGUCACUGGGCCGCAACUGACGCUGAGGAGCGAAAGCAUAGGGAGCGAACAGG